CUCGUAGGUGGCCAACUAAGUCGGACGUGAAAUCCCUCGGCUUAACCGGGGAACUGCGUCCGAUACUGGUUGGCUUGAGUUUGGGAGAGGGAUGCGGAAUUCCAGGUGUAGCGGUGAAAUGCGUAGAUAUCUGGAGGAACACCGGUGGCGAAGGCGGCAUCCUGGACCAAUACUGACGCUGAGGAGCGAAAGCCAAGGGGGAGCAAAACGG
rnacentral:rRNA from 1 species